rnacentral:lncRNA from 1 species
UUUUUUUUUUUUUUUAAAGAUUUAUUUAUUUAUUCAUUCAGAGAGAGCCACAAGAGAGGCAGAGACACAGGCAGAGGGAGAAGCAGGCUCCAUGCAGGGAGCCCAAUGUGGGACUCAAUCCUGGGUCUCCAGGAUCACACCCCAGGCUGCAGGCGGCGCUAAACCGCUGCACCACCAGGGCUACCCCCUCCUUUAAGUUUUUAAAUCACCUAUAGUGGAAAAGUAAUUACAUGUUGUUUAUAGGACACUAGUCAAAUUUAUUCACCGAGUUUUCCUUUAUUCCAUCCCUUACCACUUUUAUUCAUAGAAUCAUAAAUUUGAGAGUGACAUCAGAGAUAAUUCAACUUUCCACAUAAUGCAAACACUAAUCUCUUAAAAAAUCCACACCAAUUAGCUGCUAAGCCAGUAUUUAUUGUGAUAAGGUACAACGGAGCCUAUUCCAGAGGGUUUAAGCAGAAAAGAAAUUUACCAAGGAUAUCAGACAACUCACAGAAUCUUCAGGAGAGUCCCGGGAACCCGCAAGGGAGGCCGUGCAGGCAGCAGAGUAAUAUUAGUGCUGGAUUGCUCAUGUGGAAACCCUACUGUUGAUACCAUUGGGCACAGGCUCCUCAGGACACUGGAGCAGAAGCAAAUGUGUUGUUGCUUCCCAAAGCUGACUGCCUCUUCAGGGUUUCUCUGGGAUGGCUUUCCUGCUGGCACUCUCUUGGCUCUAAAUUGGCAGUCUCCAACAUGGUGGUUUCAUGUUGGCUUCCAAUCAGAUGGAUCUAAGGGAUAUGUGCAUGCUAACAUCAAGGGAAGCUGUGACAAAGGGUUUUUGGCUACUACUCUGAGGAUGCAGGUUUCACAAUUUAGAAAACUCCCCAAAUGUUGGAAGGUGUUCAAGAAUUCAAAGAGAGCCAAAAGAAUGACUAAUUAUCCUAAAGAAGUUCAUUUAUCAUUGGGCUCCUUUAGCAUUUUGAAUGAACUAACGACUUCUUGUAAAUAGCAUUUUUCAUCAACAUUUGAGUCAUGCUCCCUCUUCACUACACCAUGUGUCUGCAAUAUCUGAACACAGCUAUCAAAAUUUCUUGAGGUUUUUUUCUUCUUGCCAAAUAUCUCCAAUUUUUUCAAAUGUUAACUUUAGCACAGGAUUUCAGUCCCCUUGAAAAUCAAACAUCUGUCCUCCAGCAGCCUCUUUUAUAUCGUGUAUCUGAAUUGACAAUUCCAAUUAUAAGGGCUGAGGGUAGGAAAUUAUAGGUAUAUUUAUAUAUGUAACACACACACAUAUAUAUAUAAAGCUGAGGAUACUAUGCACAAUGUACCAUGACUUCCUAAAGGAAGUCAAGAAGAUUUGACCUUCUUUCAGUAAGGUUUAUUAGGAAGUUGCCAAGUGUGACUUGGCCCAAUAACUUCCCCUGUCUCUGACUGCAGAAGACAAAAUACUCCAAAGACUCCAAAAUUCUAGAAUGACUAUUAGAAUUAUAAGUUACAGGCCACCAGGGAGAAAAGUAUUUUGACUUUUCCUCUCCUUCCUCAUUAAACUGGGGAUGAAAAGCAUGAGUAUCUAUAAAUACUUAAAAUCACAGAGCAGUUGUACUGGUGUGGUGGUUUCUGAUACAGUGUCUCAGAUGAUGAUUAUGAACAAUCCCAGGGCAAGCUAGGUCACCACCAAUUUAUUGUUAAGAAGCUUGUGACUUGUUUUAGUCACAAGAUGGAACCCACACUUGAACUCACGUCUUUUGGCUUCAGAGUCCUGGGCAUUUCCAGUAUUUUAUACUUCCAGGAAAAGGAGUGAGAGAGCCUGGGAGGAAGAGCAAAAGGCCAAGGGACAUAGCUCUUGGAAUUUACUCAGCAUGCUGACCUUUCUAGUAAAUCAUCUAUUCUCAAUGCAUUGAAAACACCUGGCUAAAAUCCAUUUGCAAUGGGAACUCAUGAGUCCACAGGGAGGAUUUGCUUGCAUCAAAGUCGAUAUAACUGUGUUUAUUUUACCAUAAUACACUAUGGCAUUAUUUGUAACAAAAUAUCACAAACUAGAUAGCUUAAAACAACAGAAAUUUAUUUUCUCACAUUCUGGAGGCCAAAGUAUCAUUGGGCUGAAAUCAAGGUGUCAACAGGAAUACACUCCCUCUUGAGGCUUUAGAGGAGAAUCCAUUUUUUUUGCCUCUCCUAACUCACAGCCACAUGACUCCAAUCUUUGCCUCCAUGGUCACACUGCCUCCUCCUCCUCUAUCUCCUUCUGCCUCUCUUUUAUAAGGACAUUUGUGACCUGACCAUGUUUAGAACUCAUCCUAAUAAUCCAGGAUUAUUUCUCCAUCUCAAGAUCCUUAAUUUAACCAAUCUACAAAAAUACAGCAUUUAAAAACUCCAAGGGUUAAGAUCUGAUAUAUUUGCAUGGCCCCCUAUGACUACAUUUCCCCUUUUUAUCCUGUAUUAUAUAAUUUGUUUUUAUAAAAGCAAUGGGUAUUUUUUUACAGAAAAUUAGACUAUACAGAUAAGCAAAGAAGAAAAUUAUAAAUUACCUUAAUUCUACCCCCACCCCUGGGACUUAAGCACUGUUAAUAUUCUGGUACCUACCUCUACCUCUGUGAACAUACAUUUGCAUAUAGGUUUCAUUAAACUUUUGAAAACCCAGCUGAUGGUGCCUGGGUGGCUCAGUUGGUUAAGCGCCUGCCUUCGGCUCAGGUCAUGAUCCCAGGAUCCUGCAAUGGAGCUUUGCAUUAGGCUCCCUGCUCCGUGACGAGUCUUCCUCUCCCUCUCCCUCUCCCUCUGCUGCUCUCCCUGCUUGUGGUC